rnacentral:rRNA from 1 species
CCUGGCUCAGGAUGAACGCUAGCGGCAGGCUUAAUACAUGCAAGUCGAACGGGAUUCGGUGUAGCAAUACAUUGAUGAGAGUGGCGCACGGGUGCGUAACGCGUAUGCAACCUACCUUUAACAGGUGAAUAGCCCCGAGAAAUCGGGAUUAAUACACCGUAACAUUGCGGGAUGGCAUCAUUCUGCAAUUAAAGAUUUAUCGGUUAAAGAUGGGCAUGCGUGACAUUAGCUAGUUGGUGAGGUAACGGCUCACCAAGGCGACGAUGUCUAGGGGUCCUGAGAGGGUUAUCCCCCUCACUGGUACUGAGACACGGACCAGACUCCUACGGGAGGCAGCAGUAAGGAAUAUUGGUCAAUGGGCGCAAGCCUGAACCAGCCAUGCCGCGUGCAGGAAGACGGCCCUAUGGGUUGUAAACUGCUUUUGUCAGGGAAUAAACCUGUCUACGAGUAGGCAGCUGAAGGUACCUGAAGAAUAAGCAUCGGCUAACUCCGUG